rnacentral:rRNA from 1 species
GAUCAUGGCUCAGAUUGAACGCUGGCGGCAUGCCUUACACAUGCAAGUCGAACGGCAGCGGGCCUUCGGGUGCCGGCGAGUGGCGAACGGGUGAGUAAUGCAUCGGAACGUGCCAUUGAGUGGGGGAUAACGUAGACGAAAGUUGCGCUAAUACCGCAUAUUCUGUGAGCAGGAAAGCGAGGGGGACCGCAAGGCCUUGCGCUCUUUGAGCGGCCGAUGUCAGAUUAGCUAGUUGGUGAGGUAAGGCUUACCAAGGCGACGAUCUGUAGGCGGGUCUGAGAGGAUGAUCCGCCACACUGGAACUGAGACACGGUCCAGACUCCUACGGGAGGCAGCAGGUGGGGUAAUUUGGACAAUGGGGCAACCCUGAUCCAGCCAUGCCGCGUGAGUGAAGAAGGCCUUCGGGUUGUAAAGCUCUUUCGGCCGGGAAGAAAUCGCAUGGGUGAAUACCCUGUGUGGAUGACGGUACCGGAACAAGAAGCACCGGCUAACUACGUG